rnacentral:rRNA from 1 species
GACGAACGCUGGCGGCGUGCCUAAUACAUGCAAGUCGAACGCUGAAGAGAGGAGCUUACUCUUCUUGGAUGAGUUGCGAACGGGUGAGUAACGCGUAGGUAACCUGCCUUGUAGCGGGGGAUAACUAUUGGAAACGAUAGCUAAUACCGCAUAACAAUGGAUGACACAUGUCAUUUAUUUGAAAGGGGCAAUUGCUCCACUACAAGAUGGACCUGCGUUGUAUUAGCUAGUAGGUGAGGUAAUGGCUCACCUAGGCGACGAUACAUAGCCGACCUGAGAGGGUGAUCGGCCACACUGGGACUGAGACACGGCCCAGACUCCUACGGGAGGCAGCAGUAGGGAAUCUUCGGCAAUGGGGGCAACCCUGACCGAGCAACGCCGCGUGAGUGAAGAAGGUUUUCGGACCGUAAAGCUCUGUUGUAAGUCAAGAACGGGUGUGAGAGUGGAAAGUUCACACUGUGACGGUAGCUUACCAGAAAGGGACGGCUAACUACGUG